rnacentral:rRNA from 1 species
UACGUAGGGUGCAAGCGUGUCCGGAAUUAUUGGGCGUAAAGAGCUCGUAGGCGGUUUGUCGCGUCGGCUGUGAAAACUCGGGGCUCAACCCCGAGCCUGCAGUCGAUACGGGCAGACUAGAGUGCUGUAGGGGAGACUGGAAUUCCUGGUGUAGCGGUGAAAUGCGCAGAUAUCAGGAGGAACACCGGUGGCGAAGGCGGGUCUCUGGGCCGAUACUGACGCUGAGGAGCGAAAGCGUGGGGAGCGAACAGG